rnacentral:lncRNA from 1 species
GAGACAUACAUUUAAAGACAAUGUGGUUUUUGUGUAUUUGAGACUGUUCCAAAUCAAUUUAUUUAUAGAGCAUUUGUCUUCCACAAGAUGACUUACAGUGCAGCUUGACUUUGGCAACUGCCAGCUGAGAAGCAGAGUUGGUGACUAACCAUUGCAUCAAGGCCCGGGAAGUUGGUUGUCUACUUUCCUCUCCUGACUGCAGUCAGGCCGGCAGCCAGAAAAAGCCCAGUAUCUCCCUCCAUCGUUUCCUGCAGCCUCCACGCA